rnacentral:rRNA from 1 species
GGGAAUCUGCCCUUCGGUUGGGAAUAACUGAGAGAAAUUUCAGCUAAUACCUUAUAACGUCUUCGGACCAAAGAUUUAUCGCCGAGGGAUGAGCCCGCGUAGGAUUAGCUAGUUGGUGGGGUAAUGGCCUACCAAGGCGACGAUCCUUAGCUGGUCUGAGAGGAUGAUCAGCCACACUGGGACUGAGACACGGCCCAGACUCCUACGGGAGGCAGCAGUGGGGAAUAUUGGACAAUGGGCGAAAGCCUGACCCAGCAAUGCCGCGUGAGUGACGAAGGCCUUAGGGUUGUAAAGCUCUUUUACCAGGGAUGAUAAUGACAGUACCUGGAGAAUAAGCUCCAGCUAACUCCGUGCCAGCAGCCGCGGUAAUACGGAGGGAGCUAGCGUUGUUCGGAAUUACUGGGCGUAAAGCGCGCGUAGGCGGUUUCUCAAGUCAGAGGUGAAAGCCCGGGGCUCAACCCCGGAACUGCCUUUGAAACUAGGAGACUAGAAUCUUGGAGAGGUCAGUGGAAUUCCGAGU